UGACGACCGGCGCACGGGUGCGUAACGCGUAUAGAACCUACCUUUUACAGGGGAAUAGCCUUUAGAAAUGAAGAUUAAUGCCCCAUAGUAUUGUAGACUGGCAUCAGUUUCUAAUUAAAGAUUUAUCGGUAAAAGAUGGCUAUGCGUCCUAUUAGUUAGUUGGUAAGGUAACGGCUUACCAAGACAGCGAUGGGUAGGGGUCCUGAGAGGGAGACCCCCCACACUGGUACUGAGACACGGACCAGACUCC
rnacentral:rRNA from 1 species